UACGUAGGUGACAAGCGUUGUCCGGAUUUACUGGGCGUAAAGAGCGCGCAGGCGGUCGUUCAAGUCGAGUGUGAAAGCCCCCGGCUCAACUGGGGAGGGUCACUCGAUACUGAUCGACUCGAAGGCAGGAGAGGGAAGUGGAAUUCCCGGUGUAGUGGUGAAAUGCGUAGAUAUCAGGAGGAACACCGGUGACGAAGGCGGUUCUCUGGGAAUAUCCUGACGCUGAGGAGCGAAAGUGUGGGGAGCGAACAGG
rnacentral:rRNA from 1 species